rnacentral:rRNA from 1 species
GAACCGUGCAAACGUUGUUCGGAAUCACUGGGCGUAAAGGGCUUGUAGGUGGCCAACUAAGUCAGACGUGAAAUCCCUCGGCUUAACCGGGGAACUGCGUCUGAUACUGGAUGGCUUGAGUGUGGGAGAGGGAUGCGGAAUUCCAGGUGUAGCGGUGAAAUGCGUAGAUAUCUGGAGGAACACCGGUGGCGAAGGCGGCAUCCUGGACCAUAACUGACACUGAUAAGCGAAAGCCAGGGGAGCAAACGGGAUUAGAUACCCCGGUAGUCCUGGCCCUAAACGAUGAAUGCUUGGUGUGACGGGUAUCGAUCCCUGUCGUGCCGAAGCUAACGCAUUAAGCAUUCCGCCUGGGGAGUACGGUCGCAAGGCU